UACGUAGGGGGGCUAGCGUUGUCCGGAAUCAUUGGGCGUAAAGCGCGUGUAGGCGGCCCGGUAAGUCCGCUGUGAAAGUCGGGGGGCUCAACCCUCGGAAGCCGGUGGAUACUGUCGGGCUCGAGUACGGAAGAGGCGAGUGGAAUUCCUGGUGUAGCGGUGAAAUGCGCAGAUAUCAGGAGGAACACCUAUUGCGAAGGCAGCUCGCUGGGACGUUACUGACGCUGAGACGCGAAAGCGUGGGGAGCAAACAGG
rnacentral:rRNA from 1 species